UACAUGUUAUGGAUAAAAAAAUUCACUUCGUAGAACCCAAAAUCGCCUUAAACGGAUUGUUUGGAUAUUUAAAAACGUAUUUCGAUGAAGAUUUCAAUAAAUUAAACGUAAAAUUCGAUAAAUUUAGGUUAAAUUGCUUUUAAAUGUCAAAUUUACGAUAAACACGGAUUAUAACCGCUAGAUGGAGGGAGCUAGGUUAUGUUUCGUGUCAAAAAAAUAAUUUUGAUGAAUAUUACUUUAUAUAAGAUGUUAAAAUAAUUAAAAGAACGGAUUUAGUUUAACAAUCUUCUCGAAAAACAAAUCUAAUAAUAUCAUCGGUUACCGGAAAGCGUUCGGUGAGAUCACAACGAAAGUCAUCGUCGUAUUUUGCGUACCCGAUUACGGCCCCAAACGCCAAGAGUAACACUCCAAGUGCUAUCUUAAAAAUGGAUGUUCUUCCCCCAUUAUUAAACCUCUGAAAUUGAAUGAAAAAAAUAAAUUAAUGCGGAAAUUAGGAUUUGAAUACUCACGUCUCGAAUGAAGAUUGUUGUUGUUGCGCUUAUACUUCGGAUCAUUCCUAUUUCGCGAAAAUUGAUUAUAAUAAGUUACAUUUUAUGAUAAAUUUGGAAUUUAUUGGGAUUGAAAAUUUUGACUUGAAGAUGUCAAAUUGAAAUAAAUAAAACAACUCUUUACAUAUCCACUUGCUUAUAUUUUACAGUAAUUUAUACAAUUUAUCUCAUUAGAUUCAUCGAAUCGGACGGCAAAAAACUGGAUAAAACCACCGAUUAAACAAACAACCCUCUUCGUCAUCAUUCAAAGAGGAUUCAUUUAUUCGUUUAAGAAAAAAAUUAAAAACUAUAAAUCCAGGGAAAAUAACGCUACAUAUAAUAUCCAGUUUCGAGCAGUCUCACCACAUCAUCAUAAUUUUUUUUUAUUAUUUAUUUUUAUUCAUUCAUCAUUUAUACGUUUUUACGGAGGAUGAGGGGGCGAAAUAUUUCAGAUAAAUAAUAACCGCUUUUAAAAUUUGUUUAAAAUUAAUAUCAUCAUCAUCAUAAUCGUCAUCAAUAUCCGUUAUAAUACAAGAAGUUUUUUUUUUUAAGUCUCUCUAUAUCUUUAUCUAUACGAAGAUGAACAAGAAGUAUUUUAAGUCAUUUUUUGUUUAAAUAAUAACAUUUAUGUGAUGCGUAUCGGGUAAAAAUUUCAAAGCGGAUUUAAAUAAAUUAAAAAAAUUUUACUGGCAAACAAAAAUUGGGUUCAUUUAAGUUAUUUUUUUUUGUUUUAAGUACAUUAGCAGCCUUAAGGAACAAGUUUACUUAAACUUUAUAUAAAAAAAGAUGUGAAAAAGAAAAAUAAAAAA